CUAGCCGUAAACGAUGGAUGCUAGGUGUGGGGGGUAUAGACUCCCUCCGUGCCGUAGCUAACGCGUUAAGCAUCCCGCCUGGAUACUACGGCCGCAAGGCUAAAAACCAAACGAAUUGACGGGGGCCCGCACAAGCAGCGGAGCGUGUGGUUUAAUUCGAUGCUACACGAAGAACCUUACCUGGGCUUGACAUGCAGGUAGUAGUGAAGCGAAAGUGGAACGACCCUUCGGGGAGCCUGCACAGGUGC
rnacentral:rRNA from 1 species